ACAAACUUGGUCAUUUAGAGGAAGUAAAAGUCGUAACAAGGUUUCCGUAGGUGAACCUGCGGAAGGAUCAUUACAGUGCCUGUAGGGCCCACUGCCCUACACUCUGGCCACCCGUGUUUACUUGACCUUUUGUUGCUUUGGCGGGCCCGCCUCCCCGGGGGCCGCUGGGGGCGCGUACCUACGAUCGUGGGUACGCACCCCUGGCCCGCGCCCGCCAAGGGACCUCUAGAACUUCUGUGAAAUAGUGCUGUCUGAGCUUGAUUUGAAUGACACAAAACUUUCAACAACGGAUCUCUUGGUUCCAGCAUCGAUGAAGAACGCAGC
rnacentral:misc_RNA from 1 species